rnacentral:snoRNA from 1 species
GGGCGAUGACGAUGUUAUCAGUGAAAGGUCUCGUUCGUCGUAAGGGCUGAUCCGCCUUGCCGACCAACCUGAUAUAUCACCACCCAUAUUCCGAGUCC